GUGCUUUGGCAGCACAUAUACUAAAAUUGGAAUGAUACAGAGAAGAUUAGCAUGGCCUCACACAAGGAUGACUUGCAAAUUUGUGAAGCAUUCCAUAUUUUU
ensembl:snRNA U6 U6 spliceosomal RNA